rnacentral:rRNA from 1 species
AACGAACGCUGGCGGCAGGCCUAACACAUGCAAGUCGAGCGAAGCCUUCGGGCUUAGCGGCGGACGGGUGAGUAACGCGUGGGAACGUGCCCUUUGCUACGGAAUAGCCCCGGGAAACUGGGAGUAAUACCGUAUGUGCCCUUCGGGGGAAAGAUUUAUCGGCAAAGGGUCGGCCCGCGUUGGAUUAGGUAGUUGGUGGGGUAAUGGCCUACCAAGCCGACGAUCCAUAGCUGGUUUGAGAGGAUGAUCAGCCACACUGGGACUGAGACACGGCCCAGACUCCUACGGGAGGCAGCAGUGGGGAAUCUUAGACAAUGGGGGAAACCCUGAUCUAGCCAUGCCGCGUGAUCGAUGAAGGCCUUAGGGUUGUAAAGAUCUUUCAGUGGGGAAGAUAAUGACUGUACCCACAGAAGAAGCCCCGGCUAACUCCGUGCCAGCAGCAGCCGCCGUAA